GGGCCCGUGGCAGAGCGGUUGAAUGCACCCGAUUUAUAAUCGCGGAGAACGUGUGCAAGCACGUUCCGUAGGUCCGAAUCCUACCGGGCCCG
rnacentral:tRNA from 1 species